ensembl:lincRNA
AUGUUGGCAAAACUAAUGGCACAAGGAAAAAUUUCAAACCCUUAAGCCAAUUUUUUAAUUUUAUUUCAGGUGCUAUUCGAGCACAUAAUGGUAGUCUUCAGCACCUUACUUGGCUUGGCUUACAGUGGAAUUCAUUGCCUGCUUUACCUGGAAUCCGAAAAUGGCUAAAACAGCUUUUCCAUCAUUUGCCCCAGGAAACCUCAAGUCUUGAAACAAAUGCACCUGAAUCAAUAUGUAUUUUAGAUCUUGAAGUAAGCAAAGAUUUUAACAAAUUAAAUAUUCUGAAUUUUGUUUAAUUUUUUUUCUAACUUAACUUUUCCUUAAAUAAAACAGGUAUUUCUCCUUGGAGUAGUAUAUACCAGCCACUUACAAUUAAAGGAGAAAUGUAAUUCUCACCACAGCUCCUAUCAGCCGUUAUGCCUGCCCCUUCCUGUAUGUAAACAGCUUUGUACAGAAAGACAAAAAUCUUGGUGGGAUGCGGUUUGUACUCUGAUUCACAGAAAAUCAGUGUUUAAGUAGUAAAACAAAAAUAUUGCUUUCACUUAGUGCGUAGGUUUUACCAGGGAUUUAAUCCUCAUGUGAAGAUUUAAUUUGUCAUGUGACCCAUUAACAUAUAUGUAUGUAAGCGCUGAACUGUGUAUUUAGAAAGCAAUUUUAGUAAAUUGAACUAUUUUUUAGACCUGGAAACUCAGCAAAAUUGAGACUUCUAGUUCAGCAUGAAAUAAACACUCUAAGAGCCCAGGAAAAACAUGGCCUUCAACCUGCUCUGCUUGUACAUUGGGCAAAAUGCCUUCAGAAAAUGGGCAGCGGUCUUAAUUCUUUUUAUGAUCAACAAGAAUACAUAGGGAGAAGUGUUCAUUAUUGGAAGAAAGUUUUGCCAUUGUUGAAGAUAAUAAAGAAGAACAGUAUUCCUGAACCUAUUGAUCCUCUGUUUAAACAUUUUCAUAGUGUAGAUAUUCAGGUAACAGAGUUCCUUUAUGAAUUUAUUGGAGAUGGGAAUUUCCAGUUUAUAAACAAAGACGUGGAGCUAUAAACUGCUUAAAUUAACUGCCUUGUUAUUUAACGGUAAUCUUGUUUUCUAAAUUCACUAGCUCUCACAGAUAAGAUAUGACAGAGAAGAAUAAUGAGAUGUUUGUCUCUUAAGAUCAUAUAAAAUCUUUGGAAAAUCAUUUGGGUUUUAUAUUCUGAGUAUAAACAAUUUGACUAAAAACUAUUCUGUGUGCUUAGGCAUCAGAAAUUGUUGAAUAUGAAGAAGACACACACAUAACUUUUGCUAUAUUGGAUGCAGUAAAUGGAAAUAUAGAAGAUGCUAUGACUGCUUUUGAAUCUAUAAAAAGUGUUUUCUUAUUGGAAUCUUGCACUGGUAAGUAGAUGCAGUACUUGAGCUAAAAGUUUUAUUUAUUUAUUUAUUAUUUUUUUAAAAAGACGGGGUUUCUCUGUUGGCCAGGCUAGAGUGCAGUGGCACAAUCUUGGCUCACUGCAACCUCUGCUUCCCAGGCUCAAGCGAUUCUUGUGCCUCAGCUCCUGAGUAGCUGGGAUUACAGGCAUGAGCCACCAUGCAUGGCCAAGCUGAAAGUUUUUUGUUUUAAAAAGCUAAUGAUUUUAUAAAAGCACUAUUUGUAUAGAUUUUUCACAGGAAGGCAGAAGACAUUGCAAAUGAUGCCCUUUCUCCUGAAGAACAAGAAGAAUGCAAAAAUUAUCUGAGAAAGACCAGGGGUUACCUAAUAAAGAUUUUAGAUGACAGUGAUUCAAAUCUUUCAGUGGUCAAGAAAGUAAGUAUCAGGUUGUUGUAUGUAUGUUCUUACUGAUAACCCACUGGUCAGUGUUUUUGCGUUGGUGUUAUAUUUUGGUAAUUUCAAAAAUACUCAGUAAUAUGUUGUUAUUAAUGCACAGAAGGGAUGUGUGUGUCUAAAUGCUUAUAUUUGCUUGCUUUGUCUUAGGUUUGGUGUGUCUUUUUAAACUUGAGAAUCUAGGUAUAUGCUCUUAAAAAGUACUUCUUGGAGAAUUAGAAAAGAUUUCUAAGAUAAGACAUUGAUUUUGUUAUCUUAGCAGUGUAAUCAAAACAAAUAUUAUAACCUCAGGACUAAUUCUUAAUGAACUUUGCUGAAAUUGAAAGUUGUUGCUGACAACUUAAGAGCAUUUCUUCUCAUCGUCAUCAGCCAUUAUGAACGCCCUUGUUUUCUUGCUGUCAGCUGUUUGAGAUUGUCAUGAUGAUGUUGAAUUAUGUUCAGUCUUCUGAGUGUUUUGUUGGUUAAUUUGUGUUACUACUCUUUUAUUAGGAUUUAUGUUAUCUGGUGUAUUGUAGCAUCUGUAUUUCUGUCACCAUUGAAAAUCAGUUAUAAAACAUCAGUAACUUAUUUUGUUCACUUGGAAAAGCUUUCCAAGUUAACAUUCCUCUACAAUUAUCAUGGUUAACAGAAGUAAUAGAGCAUGGACUUUAGAAUCAGAAGAUGUUAGAUUGUACAACACUUUUCUGUGUUCAUGAAGAAAAAAAUAGAAUAAAGACAAAAUAAUAAUACAAAACAGCAGAAAAACAAAGAAAAAAGAUAAUUAAAAAACACUUUCAUGUGUAUUAUUAUUUAAAGUGUAAAGUGCUUAUUAAAGUGACAAAUGUAAAUAAGAUAAAAUAUAUCAUUUUAGAGUUUUUACUUUUGGAAUUUUUUGCAAAUGAAAGCCCUUAAUUAAUGUCUUUUAUUUUUAGUUGCCUGUGCCCCUGGAAUCUGUAAAAGAGAUGCUUAAGUCAGUCAGGCAGGAACUCGAAGACUAUAGUGAAGCAGUUCCUCUUUAUAAAAAUGGUUCUUUGAAAAAUGCAGAUUCAGAAAUAAAACAUUCUACACCAUCUCCUACCAAAUAUUCACUAUCACCAAGUAAAAGUUACAAGGUAAACAGGAAAGAAUGGAAUCAUUUCAUUGUGAAAUUGUUUCUGUUCUAAGUGUUUUAAAUGCUCUUUAUUAUUUUUAUUUUUUUUUUAGUAUUCUCCCAAAACACCACCUCGAUGGGCAGAAGAUCAGAAUUUUUUUUAAUUAAUUAAUUAUUUAUUUAUUUAUUUUAUUGAUCAUUCUUGGGUGUUUCUCACAGAGGGGGAUUUGGCAGGGUCAUAGGACAAUAGUGGAGGGAAGGUCAGCAGAUAAACAAGUGAACAAAGGUCUCUGGUUUUCCUAGGCAGAGUGUUUGUGUCCCUGGGUACUUGAGAUUAGGGAGUGGUGAUGACUCUUAACGAGCAUGCUGCCUUCAAGCAUCUGUUUAACAAAGCA